rnacentral:lncRNA from 1 species
AAAUAAAUAAACAGUAAAAAUAAACAGGAGGGAGAAGGCACUGGGAGCUAAUAAGCUCAGCCAUUGGCAGAGUCAUUUUGCACUGCAAACUUCAUUACAGUGAUUCCAGAGAUAGUACUUAAAAAUGAACUUUGGAUAAUGUUCCAAUUGAGAGUUUUCUGUACUCAAGAAAUGUACCACAACAGCACAGACUGGGGUUAGACAAGAAGGAGCAGAGGGGCACCAGAAGAAGCCUAGGAAACUUAGAGCAUUGCAAGAAAGAGAGGAAUCUAGACUGCCAAACAGCCUGUCCUCUUAGCUGUGCUUGUCAAAAGGUUUUUACCUCAGAAUCCCAGGGUAUAUCUUGGUUAUAAACAACUAGUAUAUGUCUAAGUUAACAGCUUAGUAACCUGAGUACAGUUAUGUAGCAGAAGUUUUAAUCAUUUUCCACAUUUUCUUUUUUUGUCGUCUUAAGGAUUUCUGGACUGGGUGAAUCUUAUCUGCAUUUGGCAAUCAUGAUUCUGAGACUGUGAGUGGCUAACGUCAAGGAAGCAGCCUCCUUUACAGAACAACCCUUCUGUUUAUUUCUGUCUGGCAGGAUGCAAUCUCUCUUUACUGCCGCUAUUCCUGUAUAUACCUUCUAGUUUCAUUUUUUGCUGACCCUUGAGAACUGGCUCUUAACCCCUACUCCAUGCCAACAGAAUUAUUAGGAAAUCAUCGAGAACUGUCCUUCACUUUGUGACAGCAGGAGACUCUAAGUACAAAAUAGCAGGUCACUCUGACUAUGACCAAUCGGACAGAUAACCACGCUGCUUUCUUUUUCACAGGAAAUUGUGUAACUCUGGAAUUUUAGAGGUGAGUGUGUAAAGAACAACCCUUUUUAAAGGAAUAACUUAAUUCACUACUUUGACUACAUAGAAAUUUAAUGCAUGACUUUCUUGAAACGCUCUUCUCUCAUAACACCCCUGGCCCAUUUUCUCCUGUUUUGACACCAUGUGAGGGUUAUAUACACUGCAUAGCUCUCAACACUCUGAUUUGUGUCCUGGUCUUAAUUUACAAAAGGUGACUGCGUGACAAUUCUGAGAGGCCAAUGCCAAUGAGAGAAAAGUUUACUGCUACUCAUGAUGGCGCCCCUGGAAGCAGAAGACACAGCACGCUAUAGAGGGCCAUGUGGGAAAGCACUGGAGUAGCUCCAGGCCGGGCUUGCCAGUCUCUCUGCACUCUGGAAGGAGUUUGCCUGGGUUGGGGUUGUCCCUUGGUAGAUUCCAAACCUUCAUUUUGUCAAUUUACUUAAAGGUGACUGGGUUUAAAGGGGCUGACUGAUUGUAAAUAACUUGGAGAAUAAAUCAAUAUUCAUUAAUAAAGUUAAAUAAUUCACGUAAAAUUAAAGUAUAA